UACUAGUAUUGGGACUUUCUUUAUAUGAAGAACCCCACACUGAGGUUGCUAUAACUCACUAGAAAUGGCUGACACUAUCUGUGACUCUGCCUGGUGCCACGAUGUGGACUUACUCUUUCUCUUCUCUCCACCUCUGCUUGUUUUACUACAGCAAGGGCAGAAUUGGGUGCCUCGUAAUGCCAUUAAGCAUCCUGGCUCCACAUGGUAACCUGAUAAGGACAUGUCAGUCUUCUGCAUCCAGACCCGUGAAGCCCACGGGAAGGUGGGGACUGCUCUUUUAUUUAGCCCUGUGCUCAGAGGAGAAAAUGACAGAGAUGGAAAGAACUUUUUUUGAGAGAUCACAGAGAAGAAGUCU